GACGAACGCUGGCGGCGUGCCUAAUACAUGCAAGUCGAGCGAAGUUUUUCUGGUGCUUGCACCGGAAAAACUUAGCGGCGAACGGGUGAGUAACACGUAAAGAACCUGCCUCAUAGACUGGGACAACUAUUGGAAACGAUAGCUAAUACCGGAUAACAGCAUUAACUGCAUGGUUGAUGUUUAAAAGUUGGUUUUGCUAACACUAUGAGAUGGCUUUGCGGUGCAUUAGCUAGUUGGUGGGGUAAAGGCCUACCAAGGCGACGAUGCAUAGCCGACCUGAGAGGGUGAUCGGCCACACUGGGACUGAGACACGGCCCAGACUCCUACGGGAGGCAGCAGUAGGGAAUCUUCCGCAAUGGGCGAAAGCCUGACGGAGCAACGCCGCGUGAGUGAAGAAGGAUUUCGGUUCGUAAAGCUCUGUUGUUAGGGAAGAAUGAUUGUGUAGUAACUAUACACAGUAGAGACG
rnacentral:rRNA from 1 species